UAACGACGUUGUAUAGGAAUA
ensembl:piRNA 21ur-3957 ncRNA